AGGCUCCCACAAUGUCCAGCACUAGAUUCCAAUCACCACUGAGUACACAGUGUAUCCAAGAACUUUUGAUACGUGGGGGUCUGAGGGUCCC
rnacentral:snoRNA from 1 species